rnacentral:rRNA from 1 species
UGCAGUCGGACGGGAUUGAGGAGCUUGCUUCUCAUGAGAGUGGCGCGCGGGUGCGUAACACGUAUGUAACCUACCUUGUUCAGGGGGAUAGCCUCUCGAAAGAGAGAUUAACACCGCAUAAAAUCAAUUUAUGGCAUCAUAGAAUGAUCAAAUAUUUAUAGGAACAAGAUGGGCAUGCGGAACAUUAGCUAGUUGGUAAGGUAACGGCUUACCAAGGCUACGAUGUUUAGGGGAUCUGAGAGGAUGACCCCCCACACUGGUACUGAGACACGGACCAGACUCCUACGGGAGGCAGCAGUAAGGAAUAUUGGUCAAUGGACGCAAGUCUGAACCAGCCAUGCCGCGUGCAGGAAGACGGCCCUACGGGUUGUAAACUGCUUUUGUACCGGAAUAAACCUUUUCACGUGUGAGAAGCUGAAUGUACGGUAAGAAUAAGGAUCGGCUAACUCCGUGCCAGCAGCCGCGGUAAUACGGAGGAUCCAAGCGUUAUCCGGAUUUAUUGGGUUUAAAGGGUGCGUAGGUGGCCUAUUAAGUCAGGGGUGAAAGACGGUAGCUUAACUAUCGCAGUGCCUUUGAUACUGAUGGGCUUGAAUACACUUGAGGUAGGCGGAAUGUGACAAGUAGCGGUGAAAUGCAUAGAUAUGUCACAGAACACCAAUUGCGAAGGCAGCUUACUAAAGUGUUAUUGACACUGAGGCACGAAAGCGUGGGGAUCAAACAGGAUUAGAUACCCUGGUAGUCCACGCCCUAAACGAUGAAUACUCGAUGUUGGCGAUAUACGGUCAGCGUCUAAGCGAAAGCGUUAAGUAUUCCACCUGGGGAGUACGCCCGCAAGGGUGAAACUCAAAGGAAUUGACGGGGGCCCGCACA